rnacentral:lncRNA from 1 species
UGCAAAGCGAGGCUGAAGAAGGCCAAGGCUGCAGAAGCCAAAGCCACGACGGUGCCUGACUUUCAGGAGACUAGACCUCGUAAUUACAUUCUCUCGGCCAGCGCCUCCGCGGUAAGCGCACCCCACCCCCACCCCACCCCUCGUCCUCCUCUCUCCCCACGUCCCACACCACUGCCUCUGACUGCACAGGAGCUAGAAGCCAGCUUGGGUAAGGCGGGGGCACUGCCAUGUGAUCAGGUCAGUCCUGAGACACUGGGGAGGGGCAGCAGCCCCCACCUCUGUCCACGGCCUGGCCCCGGUGCCCUGUGGCCAUGGAGCUGGACUUGUUUCCCUCUGCAAAACGCUGGAGCUGGCGGCAGGGCCAGCCACACUGAGUAGUGUGGAGAACUCAGGGCGGCAGCUGUCCCAUCCCCAGGGCCCCUCCACCUCCUGCUGUCUCUGAAUGCCAGGCCCUGGGGAGGCCCUGAGGAUAGAGGAGGAGGCCUGGCCGUGCCUUUCUGGAGUUCACAGACCCCUAAAGACAGGAGGCAGGGAUGGCGUCGUAGGCCUGGAGAGCGCCUGGGGGGCGGGAGGGCCUGAGGCUGUGCUUAAGGCCCAGAGGUCCUGGAGCAGGGCAUGUCUUG